rnacentral:rRNA from 1 species
AAGGCUUGGUUCUAGUUUAAGCACUAUACAGUGAAACUGCGAAUGGCUCAUUAAAUCAGUUAUCGUUUAUUUGAUAGUACCUUACUACUUGGAUAACCGUGGUAAUUCUAGAGCUAAUACAUGCUAAAAAUCCCGACCUCUGGAAGGGAUGUAUUUAUUAGAUAAAAAACCAAUGCCUUCGGGCUCCUUGGUGAUUCAUAAUAACUUAACGAAUCGCAUGGCCUUGUGCCGGCGAUGGUUCAUUCAAAUUUCUGCCCUAUCAACUUUCGAUGGUAGGAUAGUGGCCUACCAUGGUUUCAACGGGUAACGGGGAAUUAGGGUUCGAUUCCGGAGAGGGAGCCUGAGAAACGGCUACCACAUCCAAGGAAGGCAGCAGGCGCGCAAAUUACCCAAUCCCAAUUCGGGGAGGUAGUGACAAUAAAUACUGAUACAGGGCUCUUUUGGGUCUUGUAAUUGGAAUGAGUACAAUUUAAAUCUCUUAACGAGGAACAAUUGGAGG